rnacentral:rRNA from 1 species
GACGGAAGCUUACCAUGCAGUCGUGACAGGGUACCUAGCUUGCUUCUGGACCUAGCGGCGGACGGGUGAUUAAUGCUUAUGAAUCUGCUUAUUAGUGGGGGACAACAUUCCUUAAGGAAUGCUAAUACCGCAUACGUCCUACGGGAGAAAGCAGGGGACCUUCGGGCCUUGCGCUAAUAGAUGAGCCUAAGUCGGAUUAGCUAGUUGGUGGGGUAAAGGCCUACCAAGGCGACGAUCUGUAGCGGGUCUGAGAGGAUGAUCCGCCACACUGGGACUGAGACACGGCCCAGACUAAUACGGGAGGCAGCAGUGGGGAAUAUUGGACAAUGGGGGGAACCCUGAUCCAGCCAUGCCGCGAGUGUGAAGAAGGCCUUAUGGUUGUAAAGCACUUUAAGCGAGGAGGAGGCUACUAGUAUUAAUACUACUGGAUAGUGGACGUUACUCGCAGAAUAAGCACCGGCUAACUCUGUGCCAGCAGCCGCGGUAAUACAGAGGGUGCGAGCGUUAAUCGGAUUUACUGGGCGUAAAGCGUGCGUAGGCGGCCAUUUAAGUCAAAUGUGAAAUCCCCGAGCUUAACUUGGGAAUUGCAUUCGAUACUGGAUGGCUAGAGUAUGGGAGAGGAUGGUAGAAUUCCAGGUGUAGCGGUGAAAUGCGUAGAGAUCUGGAGGAAUACCGAUGGCGAAGGCAGCCAUCUGGCCUAAUACUGACGCUGAGGUACGAAAGCAUGGGGAGCAAACAGGAUUAGAUACCCCUGGUAGUCCAUGCGUAAACGAUGUCUACUAGCGUGGGGCGUUGAGGCUUAGUGGCGCAGCUACGCGAU